CGUAAGACUUUGUUGAAGAUCUCAUUCAUUGUAGAGAAGAAACAUUUGAAUAUAAAAUACUUUAGGAAGUUGUACUUUGUUCCACUUUAAGUUUGGCCACAUCUGAAGUCCAGAAUGUUAUUUUAAUGGUCUUUCUUACAGAAGAUUCUGACCAAGUAGCAAAGCCGGCAUGUUUUACCCUGGCUGGUCUGACUGUUCUCCUUCUAGUGGUCAUCGCUGGUCUGAUUGUUCAAAACAGAAAACUUAAGACUGGUACUGUCUAACUUAUAUUUGGUUUUCCUGAUACCUGUGUCAACAAUCAUAAAAAUAGUUUAAUAAAAAUGAUGGUCAGCUAACCAUUUUUUCCUGUCGUUUCAUCUAGCUAAUAAAGAAGAACAGAAUCCAAACCAAAAUGAGAAUCUUGGUUCGGAUGACCUGAAUUACGCUGCAGUGGCAUUUCGACCAAAAGUUACAAGAAGAAGAGAGCUGGAGCCAAAUGUGAUUUAUGCUGCCACCAGAUAGACUCAGGCGUUAACUGGAACUGGUGCUGUAUUAUAUCAGUACAUUCUGAGGCUUCACAUGGCUGUUUGUGAGAGCUAUACCUACUGUUGAUGAAAAAUGUCCAAUAAAGAUGCAAUGCUAA